rnacentral:rRNA from 1 species
GCCCAGAGAGGGGUCUGUGCCCUAUCAGCUAGUUGGUGAGGUAACGGCCCACCAAGGCGAUGACGGGUAGCCGGCCUGAGAGGGUGGUCGGCCACAUUGGGACUGAGACACUGCCCAGACUCCUACGGGAGGCUGCGGUCGAGGAUCUUUCGCAAUGCCCGAAAGGGUGACGAAGCGACGCCGCGUGGGGGAAGAAGGCCUUCGGGUUGUAAACCCCUGUCAGGAGUUAGGAAGUGCAGGGCGUGAAUAGCGUCCUGCUUGACUAAGGCUCAAGAGGAAGUCAUGGCUAACUCUGUGCCAGCAGCCGCGGUAAUACAGAGAUGGCAAGCGUUGUUCGGAAUCACUGGGCGUAAAGGGCACGUAGGCGGUCUAGCAAGUCGGGUGUGAAAGCCCCUGGCUCAAACAGGGAACUGCGCUCGAAACUACAAGACUUGAGGAUGGAAGGG